CUUCCUUUCUUUCUCUUCUCUUUCUCCUCCAUCAUCGGUGGCCAGUUUGAGUAUCAAAUUCUGGCGGAAGCAAAUUCGGCGUCCAAGCAUGGUUUUCUUCCCGGGAGAUUCAGGUGCAUCAGGUCCUGCUUGUGAGGGUUGAGAGAGCUUCCAGAAGAUUUCGGAGAUUCACUAGGUAGCUGCCCAGCGAUUCGCAGCCCGGUGCUUCUCCCUCUAUCUUAUUUCCUUCUGUUUUAGUUACGUAAUAGUUGUGUAGACUCGUUUCAGACUUGUAGUUGUUAUGAUAGAUGCUCAUGACUGGUGACACCCCGAUAUCGGGCUAUGUCUAUUCCGCAACUGUAUUAUUAUCUUAUGACUUGGUUUUAUUA